ACACUUCAGGCAAAGCGCCUAUCCCCAGAAAAUGACUCCUGGUGCCACCGGAAAGCUGAUUAACAAAAACAGGAGGAGUCAGCCAUCCAGAAAUGCACACUGUCCCCCAGCCUUGUGCUGGGGCAGCAGAGGGCACCUUCGGGGGAGAGGGGCUCAUCCACUCUGACCUCUGCAGUCUCUGUUUCCUGGGCCGACCUUACCAUAGGCACUGUAGCCAGGGUGCCUCUAUGCAAACAGCAAAGGGAGGGAGUCCCCUCUGGGGGGAUGUGGCCCACGGCCCCACAGCUCCUGGACUCGGCUUACCCCUCGGCAGAAUGCCACCUGCACCAACACAGAUGCAGCCUGCCUGGACAGUUGCCUUGCUGACUCGAGGAGGCAGGAUCAGUGGCAGAUGACCAGCCCCGAGGACAAGCAGGAAUGGGAGAGGCGGGAUCUAGAGAUGUCGGCAGGUCAUGACCAAGAAUCCAGCCUUACCCUGGGCAAGUCUUCAAACCAAGCCCUCUCCUGAAGGCUGCCAGAUCAGGUGAGGCAGACAGACCUUGUCUCUGGCAGGAGGACCCUGCGGGAGCAGGCAGCUUCUGCUCCAAGGUCGCACCCCCUGACCUUGACUUUGGCAGGCACUAAAGAAGGAAGCGGAGGGCAGUUUCAAAAGUUCUGUUCCCAAAGUCAAGCUGACUUGAGAAGUGGCUCUGACCAGGACAGGUUGCAGUGAGGAAGAAAUGAAGACAUAUGACUGACCACUAGGAAAUGAGGUGUGUAAGAACGGUCCUCAAAAGAAAGGGCACCCUCAGCCUGCUCACUGCCCCUCUUCCCCAGCUGCUGAAAGGACGUCUUCUGCCGCCUGGACAGCCUCUGAACUGCAGUGAGCCUGGCAGGAACCACGUCUCUGCUAGAGUGAAGCCCAAAGGUUGGAAUUCUGUAUCAUCAACAUCCAGCCUCCGAGUGAGUUUUUGGAAUUACCACCUUCCCCAAUUAAGAUGAUCCCUAUCUCCAUUCUUUAUCCCAGAGUCCCCAGGGGCAGGAGAGUGCACCAGGAUUUAAGCCCUGCUCCUCAGGAAGCUGGGCCUGGGACGCCCACUCUGAAGCCCUCACAGCCACCAUCAUCCCUGCUCUGAUGUUCACCCAGGGACUCACAGCCCUCACUGUUACAAACUCCACAACCUGCAGGCCCUGGGGCACCCUGUUGCUCCUGACUCCCACCAAAGCUUGGCUUUCAGGAAAGCUGGGCAAUGUCUGGAAAGUCAAUUAGGAAGAACUGGGGACAGGCCAAGGACUCAGCCUCAUUGACAACCAUAGUGAAAACGAACAGGGAGGCUGAACCAGCUCUGCCUGCAGAAGGGGUGUCCUGCAUGUCUAGACAGCCUUGCACUUAUCCUGAUGUGCUCCCAUCCCCCUGCCAGCAUUCAGCUCCUGCGUCCUCCCUCAACUGUGCUGUAAGACUAAUAGACAACCCCAGAUUGACAGAAGGCACAUGAGCAUGGACAGGCGGACAUCGGCCCCCGUACAAGGUGUCCUCUGCCCCUGUGGCACGGAUAACAGCACAAAUUACAGGAGAGAUGCUGAGCACCUACGCCCAACACAGGAAGGCAGCCUGUUGGCCUCUCCUUGGCAUGGCUCUGGGGUUCUGGAAGGACCCACAGGCCAUGUAAUGUGGACAGCCCUACCUUUCCUUGCUACCUGUGGUGGUGGUGCAGGCAGGUGCCGGGUGCUCACCUUGUGGUCUAGCUCGGCACUGGCCUUUGGCUGUUGCUC